rnacentral:rRNA from 1 species
GACGAACCGUGCGAACGUUGUUCGGAAUCACUGGGCUUAAAGGGCGCGUAGGCGGGCUGUCAAGUCCGGGGUGAAAUCUUUCGGCUUAACCGGAAAAGUGCCUCGGAUACUGGCAGUCUUGAGGGAGGUAGGGGUAUGUGGAACUUCCGGUGGAGCGGUGAAAUGCGUUGAUAUCGGAAGGAACGCCGGUGGCGAAAGCGACGUACUGGACCUCUUCUGACGCUGAGGCGCGAAAGCUAGGGGAGCGAACGGG